UACGUAGGUGGCAAGCGUUGUCCGGAAUUACUGGGCGUAAAGGGCGCGUAGGCGCCAUCUAAGUCAGACCGGUGAAAUCCCCCGGCUUACCUGGGAACUGCGUCUGAUACUGGACGGCUUGAGUAUGGGAGAGGGAUGUAGAAUUCCAGGUGUAGCGGUGAAAUGCGUAGAUAUCUGGAGGAAUACCGGUGGCGAAGGCGGCAUCCUGGGACCAUUACUGACGCUGAGGCGCGAAAGCUAGGGGAGCAACGGG
rnacentral:rRNA from 1 species